GGACAACUGAGGGUGGAGCGCCUGGCCCAGUUGUUAAGAGCUCACUUUUAAAACAUCAUGCCUAUCAUUUCCAAGACUCAUUUUGAACGAUUCUUAGCUCUAGGAUUUACAUCAAUCAAAGCUUUGUAUGCAUGAGGAUGGGGUGGCUUCUUCUCAUGAAAGGAGUUGGGAAUAAACCUUUUUCAUCAAGAUUUCAGGGUGCAGUGGUGCACACCUGUAAUCACAGUUACUGUGGGUGGGGAUGCUAAGGCAGGAGGAUCCCAAGUUCAAAGCCAACCUGGGCAACUUAGCAAGACUCUGUAUCAAAAUAAAAGACUGGUUGUAGCUUAGUGGUAACGUGCUUGUUUAGUGUAUGGGAAGCCCUGCAAUCCCCAGUAAUUAACUGAGGCUCAGUCCCCAGUAUUUGAAAGAAAAAAAAAAAAAAAGUAAGGUAGGGCAAAGUCUUUGCACACUUUCUAGGACAAAUACUAACUUCUAGUUUAAAUUUUUUAGUUUCCUAUUGGUCAAAGGAGUUUCUAUUGUUAUCAAGUACCACCAGUUUGCUGAAAGGAAUCUGCUAAGAAGCUUGAUUCAAAGGCCAUGGGGGAAAUGUGUUUUGAUAUCUAUCUGUAUCCUUCCUAUACAACUUCAUAGUUAUAUACUCUCUUACAGAGACUUUUCCUUUUGUACUUAAACACAAUUCUAAUGAUUAUAUGGAAGAAAAAUAAGAUAGGAACAUCUAAUAAUAAAAAAAGAGUGAAGUACUAGAUCUAGCAUUGCUAGGUGUUAAAACAUUAACUGUAGUAUUAACAAAUGCACAAAAGAAAUAUAUGUGGCAUAUCACAGUGCAAGCUACAGAACAUACUUGAGGAUAUACCCAGAUCAUACAAUGGGGAAAGAUGAGGCCUAGUGAAGGUCUAAUGUGGAGAAAAGGGGAACAGCCUCAUAGGUACAACUGGAAGAGGGAGAGAUACAGAGGGAGAGAUACAAAGCAACAACAACAAACAAAAAGCAAAUAUGAAGGUUUUAAAAAG
rnacentral:lncRNA from 1 species